GUCGCUUCUCGGCUCUCUAUGAGCUAAGAUCAAGCGUAGUACCUGUUCUUAUCAGUUUAAUGUCUGGCACGUAAAUAUCUUGCAAUGCCAGCUACAAAAGUGCCUUGCAAAUGCCUAUUCUCACUUACAAGUGACAUUGUAAAUAAAAAGCCGGCAGCAUUAUCUCCGGUAAAUGUAAACAAACU